UCUAGUAUGGCAGAUUAGUGCAAUGAAUUUAAGAUUCAUAUAUAAAAUAUUAUUUUUAUUAGAA
rnacentral:tRNA from 1 species